rnacentral:rRNA from 1 species
GUAAUGCCGGAUGCUCCAGUUGAUCGCAUGGUCUUCUGGGAAAGCUUUCGCGGUAUGGGAUGGGGUCGCGUCCUAUCAGCUUGACGGCGGGGUAACGGCCCACCGUGGCUUCGACGGGUAGCCGGCCUGAGAGGGCGACCGGCCACAUUGGGACUGAGAUACGGCCCAGACUCCUACGGGAGGCAGCAGUGGGGAAUAUUGCACAAUGGGCGCAAGCCUGAUGCAGCGACGCCGCGUGAGGGAUGGAGGCCUUCGGGUUGUAAACCUCUUUUAUCGGGGAGCAAGCGAGAGUGAGUUUACCCGUUGAAUAAGCACCGGCUAACUACGUGCCAGCAGCCGCGGUAAUACGUAGGGUGCAAGCGUUAUCCGGAAUUAUUGGGCGUAAAGGGCUCGUAGGCGGUUCGUCGCGUCCGGUGUGAAAGUCCAUCGCUUAACGGUGGAUCCGCGCCGGGUACGGGCGGGCUUGAGUGCGGUAGGGGAGACUGGAAUUCCCGGUGUAACGGUGGAAUGUGUAGAUAUCGGAA